AGAGUUUUAUCCUGGCUCAGGAUGAACGCUGGCGGCGUGCUUAACACAUGCAAGUCGAACGGGAAUUACUUUAUUGAAACUUCGGUCGAUUUAAUUUAAUUCUAGUGGCGGACGGGUGAGUAACGCGUGGGUAACCUGCCUUAUACAGGGGGAUAACAGUCAGAAAUGGCUGCUAAUACCGCAUAAGCGCACAGAGCUGCAUGGCUCAGUGUGAAAAACUCCGGUGGUAUAAGAUGGACCCGCGUUGGAUUAGCUAGUUGGUGGGGUAACGGCCCACCAAGGCGACGAUCCAUAGCCGGCCUGAGAGGGUGAACGGCCACAUUGGGACUGAGACACGGCCCAGACUCCUACGGGAGGCAGCAGUGGGGAAUAUUGCACAAUGGGGGAAACCCUGAUGCAGCGACGCCGCGUGAAGGAAGAAGUAUCUCGGUAUGUAAACUUCUAUCAGCAGGGAAGAUAGUGACGGUACCUGACUAAGAAGCCCCGGCUAACUACGUGCCAGCAGCCGCGGUAAUACGUAGGGGGCAAGCGUUAUCCGGAUUUACUGGGUGUAAAGGGAGCGUAGACGGUGUGGCAAGUCUGAUGUGAAAGGCAUGGGCUCAACCCGUGGACUGCAUUGGAAACUGUCAUACUUGAGUGCCGGAGGGGUAAGCGGAAUUCCUAGUGUAGCGGUGAAAUGCGUAGAUAUUAGGAGGAACACCAGUGGCGAAGGCGGCUUACUGGACGGUAACUGACGUUGAGGCUCGAAAGCGUGGGGAGCAAACAAGAUUAGAUACCCUGGUAGUCCACGCCGUAAACGAU
rnacentral:rRNA from 1 species